AUGUCCAAGUACAUACCGAGAAACGGUAAAACCGCGAAUGGCUCAUUACAACAGCGAGAGUUUACUAGAUGAAACUCUUAAAUGGAUAACUGUGGAAAAGCUAGAGCUAAUACAUGCAAAAAGCUUUGACCUUUAAAGGAAGAAGCGCAUUUAUUAGAACAAAACCAAACGGACUUGUCCGUAAAUUGGUGACUCUGAAUAACUAUGGUGAUCGCAUGGUCAUAGAACCAGCGACAUAUCUUUCAAAUAUCUGCCUUAUCAACUUUCGAUGGUAGUUUAUGCGCCUACCAUGGUUGUAACGGGUAACGAAGAAUCAGGGUUUGAUUUCGGAGAGGGAGCCUGAGAAAUGGCUACCACAUCCAAGGAAGGCAGCAGGCACGCAAAUUACCCACUCCUAGAGCAGGGAGGUAGUGACGAAACAUGACGAGGUGAUUCUCUAUGAGUUUCGCCAUCGGAAUGAGUGCAAUUUAAAUCCUUUAACAAGGAUCUAUUGGAGGGCAAGUCUGGUGCCAGCAGCCGCGGUAAUUCCAGCUCUAAUAGCGUAUAUUAAUGCUGUUGCGUUUAAAAAGCUCGUAGUUGGAUCUGCGACCAAGGUUAGCGGUCUGCCAAAUGGUGUGAACUGCUAUUCCUGGUUUUUUGUUUAGCUUUCCAUUGAUGCUCUUAAUUGGGUGUCUUUGGUGGCUAGAGAGUUUACUUUGAAAAAACUAGAGUGCUUAAAGCAGGCUUAUAGCCUGAAUAUUGUUGCAUGGAAUAAUGGAAAAGGACCUCGGUUCUAUUUUGUUGGUCGUUAGAGCACGAGGUAAUGAUUAACAGGGACAGACGGGGGCAUUCGUAUUGUGGCGCUAGAGGUGAAAUUCUUGGACCGCUGCAAGACGAACUACUGCGAAAGCAUUUGCCAAGAAUGUUUUCAUUAAUCAAGAACGAAAGUUAGAGGUUCGAAGGCGAUCAGAUACCGCCCUAGUUCUAACCGUAAACGAUGCCAACUUGCGAUCCGCAGGAGUUAAUAUAAUGACUCUGCGGGCAGCAUCCGGGAAACCAAAGUUUUUGGGUUCCGGGGGAAGUAUGGUUGCAAAGCUGAAACUUAAAGGAAUUGACGGAAGGGCACCACCAGGAGUGGAGCCUGCGGCUUAAUUUGACUCAACGCGGGAUAACUUACCCGGCCAAGACACUAUAAGGAUUGACAGACUAAUAGCUCUUUCUUAAUUUGGUGAAUGGUGGUGCACGGCCGUUCUUAGUUGGUGGAGCGAUUUGUCUGGUUAAUUCCGAUAACGAACGAGACUCUAACCUACUAAAUAGACCAUAUAUUUGGUUGUAUGUGGUGCUUCUUAGAGGAACAAGGAAUUUACAAUUCCACGAAACAGAGCAAUAACAGGUCUGUGAUGCCCUUAGAUGGUCGGGGCUGCACGCGCGCUACAAUGAAGGAGAAAGCAUGUAUCAAACCUUGAUCUGAAAAGAUUGAGUAACCAUUUGAAACUCCUUCGCGCUUGGAAUAGGGAAUUGCAACUAUUUCCCUUGAACGAGGAAUUCCUUGUAAGUGCGGGUCAGUAUCUCGCGUUGAAUACGUCCCUGCCCUUUGUACACACCGCCCGUCGCUACUACCGACUGGAUGAUUUAGUGAGAAGUUUGGACUUGUAUUGGUGUUACCGAAAGGUUGCACCGGUUGCGGGGAAGAACAGCGAACUAAAGCAUUUGGAGGAAGU
rnacentral:rRNA from 1 species